GUUGAGGUGGCAGAGGAAUAUGCAUUAGAUUUAAAAUCUAAAGACAAAUUUGAAUUUUCUUAACA
rnacentral:tRNA from 2 species